rnacentral:lncRNA from 1 species
CCCUCUCCAAUCCCCUCUAUUCGGCUAACUCUAUCUCCCUCUCAAAUCCCUAAAAUCUCUCCCCUUAUCACUCCUUAAUCCAUGCGUUUGAUUGAUUCAAACUCUCUCCCAUAGAGUUCCAUUCGGCUACAACUCCUGCAUGCUCAAAGCAUAAAAAUAACAACACAUUUGCCAUCAUAGGGAAUCGAACCCAGGUUUCCCCUAACCACUUACACGCCACCUCUUUAGUUCCAUAGUGGUGUCACUUAGCCACUUUACCAGAGGCUCUUUUGUGAUACUUUUUACCCAUAAUUUCUAAUAAGGCCACCU